rnacentral:rRNA from 1 species
UACGGGGGGGGCAAGCGUUGUUCGGAAUUACUGGGCGUAAAGGGCUCGUAGGCGGCCAACUAAGUCAGACGUGAAAUCCCUCGGCUUAACCGGGGAACUGCCUCUGAUACUGGAUGGCUUGAGAUUGGGAGAGGGAUGCGGAAUUCCAGGUGUAGCGGUGAAAUGCGUAGAUAUCUGGAGGAACACCGGUGGCGAAGGCGGCAUCCUGGACCGGCAUUGACGCUGAGGCGCGAAAGCCAGGGGAGCAAACGGG